CAGCUAUGGUUUAUUGGAUCCUACCCGUUAAAUGGAUAACUGUAAUAACUCUAGAGCUAAUACAUGCAACUAUGCCCUGACCCGCAAGGGAAUGGGUGCACUUAUUAGAUCAGAAGCCAUCCGAGCUUGCUCGUUUGUAUUCUGGUGACUCUGGAUAAUUGUUACAGAUCGCAUCGGCCUCGAGCCGGCGACGGGUCCUUCAAAUGUCUGCCCUAUCAACUUUCGAUGGUAGGUGACCUGCCUACCAUGGUGAUAACGGGUAACGGGGAAUCAGGGUUCGAUUCCGGAGAGGGAGCCUGAGAGACGGCUACCACUUCCAAGGGAGGCAGCAGGCGCGCAAAUUACCCACUCCCGGUACGGGGAGGUGGUGACGAAAAAUACCGAUGCGGGACUCAUAAACGAGGCUCCGUAAUCGGAAUGAGUGAACUCUAAAUCCUUUCACGAGGAUCAAUUGGAGGGCAAGUCUGGUGCCAGCAGCCGCGGUAACUCCAGCUCCAAUAGCGUAUAUUAAAGUUGCUGCAGUUAAAAAGCUCGUAGUUGGAUCUCGGUUGCACUGUGGCCUGCCAUUGCUCGGCGUUAGUUGGGCCUUGUGGCACUCCGUGUGUUCGCUUGGUCUGCUGCGCUGAGUUGGUACGGUAACGGUGUCGCCUUAUAGCCAUGUCUGUGGUGCAAUACCCGCAGGUGUAUGCGAGUGUCAGGCGGUGCGUUGCCUCCGGUAGCGUCCGUCGGCUCGUGUGCAUGCCUGCAGAUGCCCUUCAAAAGGUGUCUGUUGGCGGAUGGCACGUUUACUUUGAACAAAUUUGAGUGCUCAAACCAGGCCGAUGUUGCCUGAAAAGUUUUGCAUGGAAUAAUGGAAUAGGACUUCGGUUCUAUUUUGUUGGUUUUCGGAUCCGAAGUAAUGAUCAACAGAGACAGGCGGGGACGUUUGUAUGGCUGCGCUAGAGGUGAAAUUCAUGGACCGUAGCCAGACAGACUAAAGCGAAAGCAUUCGUCAAGCAUGUUUUCAUUGACCAUGAGCGAAAGUCAGAGGCUCGAAGACGAUCAGAUACCGUCCUAGUUCUGACCAUAAACGAUGCCAACUGACGAUCCGUGGUGGUAGUACUUUAACCUUCCCCACGGGCAGUCACCGGGAAACCUUUAAGUCUUUGGGUUCCGGGGGAAGUAUGGUUGCAAAGCUGAAACUUAAAGGAAUUGACGGAAGGGCACCACCAGGAGUGGAGCCUGCGGCUUAAUUUGACUCAACACGGGAAAACUCACCCGGGCCGGACACUAUGAGGAUUGACAGAUUGACAGCUCUUUCUUGAUUUGGUGGUUGGUGGUGCAUGGCCGUUCUUAGUUGGUGGAGCGAUUUGUCUGGUUAAUUCCGAUAACGAACGAGACUCUAGCCUGCUAAUUAGUGCGCCUGUCCACUGUAUCUGUGCAAGUGGCGUUUUGGCGAUGCUGCUCAUAUAAGCUGCUGUGGCUUGGCCUGGCUGUGUGUUCACUCGCGCGGUCGGGCUGGCUGUGGUGGUGUGGGUGGCGGGUCCGGCGUUUGCUUCCGGAUGCGGCGCAGGUGUUUACUUCUUAGAGGGACAAGCGGAACGAAAUCGCACGAAAUUGAGCAAUAACAGGUCUGUGAUGCCCUUAGAUGUCCGGGGCCGCACGCGCGCUACAAUGACGGUGCCAACGAGUCUGACCUCCUGGCCCGAAAGGGUUGGGCAAACUGGUCAAUCACCGUCAUGACAGGGAUCGGGGCUUGGAAUUAUUCCCCGUGAACGAGGAAUUCCUAGUAAGUGCAAGUCAUAAGCUUGCGCUGAUUACGUCCCUGCCCUUUGUACACACCGCCCGUCGCUACUACCGAUUGAAUGGUUUAGCAAGGUCAUUGGAUUGGCGCUAUUGCAGUGGGCUCCGAAA
rnacentral:rRNA from 1 species